rnacentral:rRNA from 1 species
UAAGUAAGCGGAGGAAAAGAAACUAAAUAGGAUUCUCUUAGUAAUGGCGAAUGAACUGGGAUGAGCUCACCAUGGGAAUCGGGGUCUUCGACCUUGAAUUGUAGUCUUGAGACGCACCGCCAACAAAGGCGCAGGUGUAAGCCUCUUGGAAGAGAGCAUCGCAGAGGGUGAGAGUCCCGUCUGUCACCUGCAGUCCCUUGUGUACGGCAUGCGUUCUGAGAGUCACGUUCCUCGGGAUUGGAGCGCAAAUUGGGUGGUAAGUUUCACCUUAAGCUAAAUAUUGGUCCGAGACCGAUAGCAAACAAGUACCAUGAGGGAAAGGUGAAAAGGACUUUGAAAAAGAGAGUUAAAAAGUGCUUGAAAUUGCUGAAAGGGAAGCGAAUGGAACCAGUUCUGCUGGGCGAGAUUGUCGCACGCCAAGGCCUCGUGCCGGCCGCAUGCGGUGCUUCUUGCCUUGUGUGUCAGCUGCGGUCCGAGGUUGGGGAAAACUCUGGGGACAUGGAUGCCAACCUCCGGGGGGGUGAAUGUGCCUGGCAAGACCCGUCCUCGGACUGUGAGCAGUGCUUCGGCAUGUCUGCGGUGCUGACGAAAAUGCUUCUAUUCGACCCG